CAAGAAAUAAAAACAUUGGUCCUUGCCCUCAAGGAGCUCACAGUCUAUUGAGUUACUUUUAAGACUUUCCCACUAGAUUGGGAGCUCCUGGAGGGCAGGCACUUAUGUUCUUCUGAAAAUGA
rnacentral:precursor_RNA from 13 species